AUGACUCAUACUUGCUCAUUUCAUGCGGUUGAUGACAACCAUCUAUACGCUUUGCACAUGAUUCAUAUUGCUUCGUGUCAUAUAUCUCCAUGUGUUGCCUCUCUCAUGCUAGAUGAUUUGCCAUGUAUUGAGUGCAACAAUGAUUCUCGUCUUGCCCAUAAGAUUGCCCCCAUAGCAUUCUCACAUAUACUUGGAGAUUUUGACAUAUUUCUUGUGAAGCAUGCUUGUCUUACCUCUUUGCACCAAAUACCUAGUGCCAUGAAUAUAGCCAUUGUUGCAUCAUAUUAUUCAUGCACUUGUGCUUCUAAUGGUUAUGUGCAAGAGAAGAGAACUAUCAUGAUGGAUGAUGUGUUUAUCUACCAUGCGCAUACGCUCUUUGUUUUGUUGUGUGCAUGUGUAGGAUACUUCGACUUCGUGUCGACUUCCACUUCAUCUGAGUUGACCAUUCGAGCUCUUGAGAGCGAGCCUCAUACAUUCAACCAUGACUCGCUUCUACACCACAUUUCCUACCACUUCGACAUUGUGAAGAACGCACAAGGACAUUCUUUCGAGGUGAUAUCCUUCUAUCUCGAGAACACCUAA
rnacentral:rRNA from 1 species